GCUGAUGUAGCUCAGCUGGUAGAGCGGCGCAUUCGUAAUGCGUAGGUCGUAGGUUCAAAUCCU
rnacentral:tRNA from 1 species